rnacentral:rRNA from 1 species
UACGAAGGGGGCUAGCGUUGUUCGGAUUUACUGGGCGUAAAGCGCACGUAGGCGGAUCGUUAAGUCGGGGGGUGAAAUCCUGGAGCUCAACUCCAGAACUGCCUUCGAUACUGGCGAUCUUGAGUCCGGAAGAGGUGAGUGGAACUCCUAGUGUAGAGGUGAAAUUCGUAGAUAUUAGGAAGAACACCAGUGGCGAAGGCGGCUCACUGGUCCGGUACUGACGCUGAGGUGCGAAAGCGUGGGGAGCAAACAGG